GAUGAACGCUGGCGGCGUGCCUAAUACAUGCAAGUCGAGCGAACAGACGAGGAGCUUGCUCCUUCGACGUUAGCGGCGGACGGGUGAGUAACACGUAGGUAACCUACCUAUAAGACUGGGAUAACUUCGGGAAACCGGAGCUAAUACCGUAUAAUAUUUCGAACCGCAUGGUUCGAUAGUGAAAGAUGGCUUUGCUAUCACUUAUAGAUGGACCUGCGCCGUAUUAGCUAGUUGGUAAGGUAACGGCUUACCAAGGCAACGAUACGUAGCCGACCUGAGAGGGUGAUCGGCCACACUGGAACUGAGACACGGUCCAGACUCCUACGGGAGGCAGCAGUAGGGACUCUUCCGCAAUGGGCGAAAGCCUGACGGAGCAACGCCGCGUGAGUGAUGAAGGUCUUCGGAUCGUAAAACUCUGUUAUUAGGGAAGAACAAACGUGUAAGUAACUGUGCACGUCUUGACGGUACCUAAUCAGAAAGCCACGGCUAACUACGUG
rnacentral:rRNA from 1 species